AGCAGCAUGGUGUAGUGGUUUGAGCUCUGGACUAUGACUCUUGAGACCAGGGUUCAAAUCCUGGUCUGGCUA